rnacentral:rRNA from 1 species
UACGUAGGGUGCAAGCGUUAAUCGGAAUUACUGGGCGUAAAGCGUGCGCAGGCGGCUUUGCAAGACAGAUGUGAAAUCCCCGGGCUAACCUGGGAACUGCAUUUGUGACUGCAUGGCUAGAGUGCGGCAGGAGGGGGAUGGAAUUCCGCGUGUAGCAGUGAAAUGCGUAGAUAUGCGGAGGAACACCGAUGGCGAAGGCAAUCCCCUGGGCCUGCACUGAUGCUCAUGCACGAAAGCGUGGGGAGCAAACAGG